UAAGGUUGAAUCCCUAAUAACCCUUCACGCCUCCUUUGUUUCUGUCUCACACUCAGUCACUUGGUUCUCUCUCCUUCAUGCUCUCUCUCUAUCUCUCUCUCUAUCACACACAAUCUCUUGGGUCUCUCUCAUUCAUACCGAUACUCUGUAUUCCUUCCCAUUGAGCCGCUGAAGCACACCAUGGCGACACCGAUGCUGAAACACACCACAACAUCGUCCCUUGUGGUGUGGUAGCCGUUGAGCCACUGAAGAACCAAGCGUGCUAGCCGCUGAACUACUGAAGAGCCAGGCAACGUAUUGAGCUGCUAAAGAACUAGGCAGUCACUGAAGAACUAGGCGACGUUCUACACCAAUUUGCAAACCUCCGUUUGUCUCCGAGAAUUACAGGGAUUUGACUGGCACUUCUUGGUCGCUCAUAAACUUCUUAAUUACUUUCUUGUUGCUACUGAAUUUGAUUAAGGUUGAACCAUACUUAGAGGGGGGUUGUAUAUAUCUAGUGGAGGGGGAUGACAGCGGAACAGAUGAGAUAAAACUAUAAUGGUGACAUAACACACAACAAUAAUUCAGUAUGGCAUUUCUAAAUUCAUGUUCUGUUUUAGUGCCUGUUACCGGUAUUGCUUUUAAUCUCUAUGCUUUGUAUUUGUUUAUUUGCUUAUGUGUCUAACUGAAGCAGUAUAUUGGUUUGAGAGAUUGUGUACUCCUAUCAUAUUGGUUUGAGAGAUUUUGUACUCUUGUCAUAUUGGUUUGAGAAAUUUUGGGGUAUUUUAUAUCUGUUCUCAGUUGUAAUUUCUCAGAUUUGGUAUAAGUUAAAAAAUAAAAGUUUUAUUAAAAAAAGUGAUUUGAUUUGGGUUCAGGGUGUUGCUCUAUCUUCCUGAAGAAAACCCAGAGAUUGUCAUUAAUAUCAAGUUUUUUUUUCUAUCCAAGUAAAUGGAACAGUUAUAAAUCGAUGGGUCCCAUUUAGAGUUGCAUGAAGCAACAAUUGUAAAAAACAAGAGCAUCAAUGAAAAACAUGAUAAACAAUUGUGGCAUUCGAGAUGGAUGUUAUCCAUGCAAGAAGGCCUGAAGGGCAGUUCUUUUGUCAAGGGAUAUGGAUUUUGCAUGACCUUCAGGGAUCCAACUGGAGCCGUUCAAGCACCACGAAGAUGUACCAGGAUGUGAGAUCAUUGUAUUGGUAGCCUGGGAUGAAGAGGGAUGUAGUGAAGUAUGUAGCUAAGUACUUGACAUGUCAACAGGUCAAGGCCGAGCAUCAGAGGCCAGCAGGGUUAUUGCAGCUUCUAGACAUCCGAGAGUGGAAAUGGGAAGACAUCACGAUGGAUUUCGUGGUGGGGUUACCCAGGAAUGUUGGUUAACAUGAUUCAGUAUGGGUUAUUGUGGAUCGUUAUACCAAGUCAGCUCACUUCUUACCAGUGAGGAAUACAUAUACAGUUGACCAGUACGCAUAUCUCUAUGUGAGAGAGAUCGAGUGCCUCCAUGGAGCACCGAGUUCGAUCGUGUCAGAUCGGGACCACACUUUCACUUCCAAGUUUUGGGGGAGUUUACAGAAGGCCAUGGGAACACAGUUGAAGUUCAGUACUGCUUAUCAUCCUCAGACAGAUGGACAAUCUGAGAGGACGAUUUAGAUAUUAGAGAACAUCCUGCGAGCAUGUGUGGUGGACUUUGGUGGAUCCUGGAGUAAGUAUCUACCUUUGAUAGAGUUUUCCUACAACAAUAGUUAUCGGUCUACCAUUGGGGUGGCAACUUAUGAGAUGCUGUAUGGUAGGAAAUGCAGAUCUCCCAUUUUUUGGGAUGAGACAUGGGAAGAAGAUACUUGGGUCCUGAGGAAGUUUAGAGGACUAGUGAGGCCAUUGAGAAGAUUAGAGCUCGGAUGCUUUAUUCUCAGAGUAGGCAGAAAAGUUAUGCAAAUCCUAAACGUAGGAAUGUAGAGUUCCAAGUGGGAGACUAUGGGCCUGUUUGGCAUUGUUUUCUGUUUUUUGUUUUCAAAAUUUUGUUCUCAGAAAUGAUAACAGAAAACUGUUUUUGUAGUUUUCAAAAAAUAAGAGUUUUUUGGUUAAUGUUUUCUAAAAAUAAUUUUUUUAGUUUUAUUUUUUUUAAAUCUUAAAUAAAAAAUUAACAAAUAUAUUUACAAAGAGAAAAAUAUUUUAAAAAUUUGUAAUAAAUAAUGAGAUAAAAUAAUUUGAAAGAAAAAAUUAUGAAAUAUAAGAAGUAAAGUUAGGAAAAAAAAUUUGAGAACAACAGAAAAUAACUUUUUGUUGUUCUCAAAAUUUUCUGUUUUUUGUAACUUUGUUUUUAAAAAUUAUUUUCUAAAAACAAUGCCAAACACCCCUACUUGUUUUCAAAAAACAAUUUUUAGCUUUUAAAAACAAAAAAUAGUUUUUUAGUUAAGGUGCCAAACACCCUCUAUGUCUUCCUUAGAGUCUCGCCAUGGAAAGGGGUGAGGAGAUUUUGGAAGAAGGGCAAGUUGAGCCCUAGAUUUGUAGGUCCAUUUGAAAUCCUGGAGAGGAUUGGUCAGGUGGCUUAUAGGUUGGCCUUACCACCGCCAUUGUCAGCCGUGCAUAAUGUAUUUCAUGUUUCAUCUCUUCAGAGGUAUGUAUCUGAUGUGACUCAUGUUUUGAGUUACGAAGAUCUGGAGCUUGAGGCAGAUCUCUCCUAUGAGGAACAGCUAAUCCAGAUACUUGAUAGAAAGGACAAGGUCCUCAUGAAUAAAAUGAUACAUUUGGUUAAAUGUAUUAUGGAGGAACAACAAUGUCGAGGAAACGACUUGGGAGCUGGAAUCAGAUAUGCAAAUCACUAUCCCAAACUGUUCAGGUAAAUUUCAGGGACGAAAUUUCUGUAAGGAGGGGAUAGUUGUAAUGCCCCAAAAUCCCUAAUGAGGUUUAAUGGUCGGAUUAGUAGGCAGGGAGGGCCAUAAUUGAUUUAUUAUGCCAUUAAAUGAUUAUAUGCAUGAUACUAUGAAUUAUAUUAUUAUAUGAUGAUAAAUACAUGCAUGUGGGUCCACUUUUCGUUAUAAGGGUAUUUUGGUAAUUUGGCCCGUUGGAGGCAUAUUUGUAUAUUUUCGUUCAUGUUGGUGAAUUAUUGAUGAGGUCACAUUAUAAUGUGGAUUUUUUCUAGCUAUUCGGCAUGAGACGAUCUUUGAAUACUAGUUAGCUGUUUGGUCAUAACGGGGUUAAUUUCGGGGCUCGAGGUAAGUCUCGAGGUAAUUUGAUGAUUAGUACAUUACUGGGAAUUAAAGGGUAAUGCUAUAUGAUUUAUUAGUAUUUGAGAAUAUUGAGAAUAACGAGAAUUGGAUGACGAUAAUUAUGAUUAACGAGAUAGGUGGAAAAAUACGGUUUUACCCUUGGUAGCCUUAAGAGGAAAUUAAAUGACCUAGGGGUAUUUUUGUGUUUUGACCUAAGGUUAUAUAUCAACUAGAAAGCUGUAGAAAAACUAAACCAAAAAUAGAGCAACUAGUUUCUUCUCCUGAUCAUCAUUUCUACUUCUUCCUUUGAAUUUUUGAAGCCCAAUUGAGGAUUCAAGCUAGGGAAGUGAGCUUUGAGGGUGUAGGAUUGUGUUCCACCACUGAAGAGGGUUCCAUCUUGAGCUUGAGGUAAGAUUCUAGCCAUGGAAACUUUGGUUAUACUCUGUUUUUCAUUUGAUUUUCAGUUGGGAUUUUUGAUUUGGAUAGUGGGAACUCAAGGAAGCUUUUAGCAAAGAUUGAUUGGGUUUUGAUGCCUAGGACUUGUAGGAUUGGUUUUUGGGUUCAUUUGUAAGUUUGGUUGAGGUUUGGAGUCAGUACAUGAAGUUUGGAAAGUGGAGAACUCGAAGGGGAAAAACCAGGGUUGAAUCACCCUGGUUCUAGCGCUACAGCGCCCAAGGGAGGGCGCUACAGUGUUGUCCAGGGCAAGUCAACCCUGCUUGUAGUGCCUAGGCGCAUGGGGGGCAGCGCUGUAGCACUCCCCUAUUUUUCUAGUGUCCUAUUUUGAGCACUUUUGAGGGUUUUUGGCUCGGGGUUUCAAUUCCCAAGGUUCGGAUCGAAUCUACUAAUCGUUUGAGUAAGAUUCAAGGUCCCGGGAGUAAGGUUUAGGUCAAGAACCUUUUAUUGUUGAUUUUAUUGAUGGAGUUCCAUAUUUGGUUAUGACUAGGUGACUGCUAAGGGAUCAAAGGACCGAUCGUUCUCAAUGGUCGUUCUUUUAUUAUUUCUCGCUCGAACAAGAGGUAAAGGGAAAAAAAAGCUCACCCAAACUUGAGUGGAGAUCUUAGGUGACGAUGUGUACAUAUGCGGCUGCUUGACCACCAUGUCCAAGGUGUUUCUCAGGGGAACUAGGGGUUAAUCCUAUAUUUUUGCCUCUUAGGUCUGCGGGUUUUUUACACUGUAAUGGCCAUUUUGGAUUGUAAAUAACUUGUAAAUAUUUUUAUGGGCCCCGUACAAUUUUAUGUUUUAAAUAAAAUAUAUCAUUUCCUUUUGAU